GACGAACGCUGGCGGCGUGCUUAACACAUGCAAGUCGAACGGAAAGGCCCUGCUUUUGUGGGGUGCUCGAGUGGCGAACGGGUGAGUAACACGUGAGUAACCUGCCCUUGACUUUGGGAUAACUUCAGGAAACUGGGGCUAAUACCGGAUAGGAGCUCCUGCUGCAUGGUGGUGGUUGGAAAGUUUCGGCGGUUGGGGAUGGACUCGCGGCUUAUCAGCUUGUUGGUGGGGUGGUGGCUUACCAAGGCUUUGACGGGUAGCCGGCCUGAGAGGGUGACCGGCCACAUUGGGACUGAGAUACGGCCCAGACUCCUACGGGAGGCAGCAGUGGGGAAUAUUGCACAAUGGGCGGAAGCCUGAUGCAGCAACGCCGCGUGCGGGAUGACGGCCUUCGGGUGGUAAACCGCUUUCGCCUGUGACGAAGCGUGAGUGACGGUAAUGGGUAAAGAAGCACCGGCUAACUACGUG
rnacentral:rRNA from 1 species